GCCCGCUCAGAAACUACAAAGGAAAGUUGACGGGGCCCGCACAAGCGGAGGAGCAUGUGGUUUAAUUCGAUGAUACGCGAGGAACCUUACCUGGGCUCGAACGUAAGAUGACUGUAGGUGAAAGCUUACAUCUCUUCGGAGCAUUUUACGAGGUGCUGCAUGGUUGUCGUCAGCUCGUGCCGUGAGGUGUCGGGUUAAGUCCCAUAACGAGCGCAACCCCUACCUUUAGUUGCCAUCAGGUUAAGCUGGGGACUCUAAGGGAACUGCCUACGCAAGUAGUGAGGAAGGCGGGGAUGACGUCAAAUCAGCACGGCCCUUACGUCCAGGGCUGCACACGUGCUACAAUGGCCGAUACAGAGGGCGGCUACCUGGUGACAGGAUGCAAAUCUCCAAAGUCGGUCUCAGUUCGGAUCGGAGUCUGCAACCCGACUCCGUGAAGUUGGAUUCGCUAGUAAUCGCGCAUCAGCCAUGGCGCGGUGAAUACGUUCCCGGGCCUU
rnacentral:rRNA from 1 species